GACGAACGCUGGCGGCGUGCUUAACACAUGCAAGUCGAGCGGGGUCCAACCAGUGGCAACACUGGGGAAGGCCUAGCGGCGAACGGGUGAGUAACACGUGAGCAACCUGCCCCGAAGUUCGGGAUAACACCGGGAAACCGGUGCUAAUACCGGGUGCCCCAUCUGACCGCAUGAUCGGAUGAGGAAAGGCUAUGUCUAAUAAACAUGGCCCGCUUCGGGAGGGGCUCGCGGGCUAUCAGCUUGUUGGUGAGGUAACGGCCCACCAAGGCGACGACGGCUAGCUGGUCUGAGAGGACGACCAGCCACACUGGGACUGAGACACGGCCCAGACUCCUACGGGAGGCAGCAGUGGGGGAAUCUUGCGCAAUGGGCGAAAGCCUGACGCAGCAACGCCGCGUGGGGGAUGAAGGCCCUCGGGUUNUAAACCCCUUUCAGCAGGGACGAAACUGACGGUACCUGCAGAAGAAGCCCCGGCAACUACGUGCCAGCAGCCGCU
rnacentral:rRNA from 1 species